rnacentral:rRNA from 1 species
UACGUAGGGUGCGAGCGUUGUCCGGAAUUAUUGGGCGUAAAGAGCUCGUAGGCGGUGUGUCACGUCGUUCGUGAAAACCUGCAGCUUAACUGUGGGCGUGCGGUCGAUACGGGCAUCACUGGAGUUCGGCAGGGGAGACUGGAAUUCCUGGUGUAGCGGUGAAAUGCGCAGAUAUCAGGAGGAACACCGGUGGCGAAGGCGGGUCUCUGGGCCUUACCUGACGCUCAGGUGCGAAAGCUAGGGGAGCGAACAGG